GAUUUCUGGUACGGCGCGCUUGGCCCGCCAGGGUUACCUGGUUGUGUGCUGGUGCGCGCCUGCCAUCCUUUUGCAUUUCAGUUCUAUCCUUUACUGGUGUGUAACUGGUUUGCAAAUCUUUUACUUUGAAAAAAUUAGAGUGUUUAAAGCAGGCUUUUGCUAUGAAUACAUUAGCAUGGAAUAAUAAUCUAGGACUUCGGUUCUAUUUUGUUGGUUUCUAUAACUGAAGUAAUGAUUGAUAGGGAUAGUUGGGGGUGCUAGUAUUGGCCGGCCAGAGGUGAAAUUCUUGGAUUCGGUCAAGACUAACUUAUGCGAAAGCAUU
rnacentral:rRNA from 1 species